rnacentral:tRNA from 1 species
GCUCCAGUGGUGCAAUUGGUCAGUGUGCUGUACUUGUAAGACAGUACACUAUAGAGCAAUACUGAGGUUGUGAGUUCAAGCCUCACCUGGAGCA